rnacentral:lncRNA from 8 species
GGUCACAUGGGUCACCACCUUUUUGAAGGGGGAGUUUAUAUGGGCCGCCUUCCGGACCCUGGGGAUGGUACGAGAAAUAAUUAUACGGUAAAAAAUAUGUGUUAAAGAUUCUGCAAUCAGAGGAGCAGAAAGCUGCAGCAAGAAAGGGUCAAGCAAAUCAGUCCAAGUGGAUUUGUUUUUACAUCAAUCUUGCGCAAGGCGUUUAGCACAUCACAAGUAGAAAGUUGUUGAAAUGAAAAUAAAGAUUCACUAUAAAUAGAUGGAACUUCCAUCGAAACAACGAGAGGCUGGGAGAGAGGCAGGCAGUCGACUGGCUGACCAGGAUCAAUUAAACCACAAUUUAUUAAAAAGCCUGCAGAGAUAAAAUGGUGAUUAAAAGCAUCCCUUACAGGUAUCUAUUAUUUCUCAGUAAUAAUGCAAUGGAGUCUGACAUCGGAAUGAAUCGGGCGUAAUUGUGCCAUUGGAACUGCAAUGAAAGGUGUAUAUUUAGUGCUCUCUUUUGGCUAUAGUUGCCAUAGCAGUCUGUCAUGAAACUCAUAGAAGAGACAGAACCCCAAGUGCUGGGUCGUAUUCACUCGGAAUGAAACAGUAUCAAAUGGGGAGGGACUACCUGAACUUUUCCAGGACUCCAACGGUAAUAUGCAGAACAAAGAAAGACUUUGGUAUAGGUAAAUCUGACCCCCUUUUUAUUAACAUCUAUCUGUCUCUCCCUCUCCAUCCCUCAUUUCCACCUCUUUUCCUCUAACUACUGUAUAAUUGACCCUCUCCUAAUCUUUUCUCCCUUACCAUAGGAAGAUAAUUCAUCAUGACAGUCCAUCACUCCAGUCACCCAUUGGUUAGCCAGUCAACCUGCUCUGACAAGCUGGCACAACAUCAGCUAUGGUAAGUGGGAUGAAAAGUUAUCAGUGCUUCUUAUAAUUUAUUAUAUGUUGCCCUGUUGGUUUGCUGAUGUUCCCAUCAGCCCAUAAUUGAGGCUUUCUGUAUACAGUUGAAGUCGGAAGUUUACAUAUACUUAGAUUGGAGUCAUUAAAACUCGUUUUUCAACCACUCCACAAAUAAAUA